UACGGAGGGGGCUAGCGUUGUUCGGAAUACUGGGCGUAAAGCGCACGUAGGCGGCUUUGUAAGUCAGAGGUGAAAUCCCGGGGCUCAACCCCGGAACUGCCUUUGAGACUGCAUCGCUUGAAUCCAGGAGAGGUGAGUGGAAUUCCGAGUGUAGAGGUGAAAUUCGUAGAUAUUCGGAAGAACACCAGUGGCGAAGGCGGCUG
rnacentral:rRNA from 1 species